rnacentral:rRNA from 1 species
UACGUAGGGUGCGAGCGUUAAUCGGAAUUACUGGGCGUAAAGGGCGCGUAGGCGGCCUUCUAAGUCGAACGUGAAAUCCCUGGGCUCAACCCAGGAACUGCGUCCGAUACUGGAAGGCUUGAAUCCGGGAGAGGGAUGCGGAAUUCCCGGUGUAGCGGUGAAAUGUGUAGAGAUCGGGAGGAACACCGGUGGCGAAGGCGGGUCUCUGGGCAACUCCUGACGCUGAGGCGCGAAAGCGUGGGGAGCAAACGGG